GAUGGUGUCUGCACAUGCUCAGAAUUGGGAAAGAGUAGCAGAAAUUCCUGAGGCAGACCUCUGCAUUUAUGUUUUUGUUUUUAUUUGCCAUGAGAAAAAAAAUUACCUUGGGGAAGAAUAUGAGGAAACCCCUGAGUCUGUAACCAAUGACAAAUCAGGCAAGAGAGGAGGCGGGGAAGGAAGCCUUGUGUUUCUCCACCAAAGAGACACCCAGCACUAGAAGUGUUAAACUAAGAAACCCUGAAUGUUUAAUCUGCCAGAAACAUAUGAGAAGAGCAAUCAUAUCUGGGAUAAGUAGCUCCGAAUGAGGAACAUUCAGGAACCAAAUAAACAAGUCUACAUUCAAAACCAAAUAAACAACUCUACAGAUGAAAGGACGAAUGAUUCCAGUGGGUCCAGACUUUUAUAAUCUCCUGGUUUUGCAAGCACUGAUAUAUGAUUUUAACAUUGCAUUGUUCUGUCUCAUUGUGUGGAUAUAAAAUGAAUAAGAGGUCUUUGGAGUGAAUGCCAUUUCACCACUAAACACUGCAAAGAAAUGAGUUUCCAAACACAUUUGGUUUAUAACCUAUCCUGAAUUCAUUUGAGAAAUAAAGCCUAACCUUCACCUCUACUCCUUACAAUAGUCCUUUUAGCAAGACAUUCACGAAUAUCUGGCUUUACUUCAUUGGUGGAAAUUACAUUAGCUGCAAAAAAUAUCUUCACACUAUUUACUCCAUUAUCUGUGUUUAUUUAUAUGCUAAUGUACUUCAUAAUAUGUAUGCUGUAAAUACAUCUUAUUUUUGUUUUCAUUGUCGAUGGUGAAGUGGUAGGCUCCUGAACAGAGCUCACAUGAAGUCAGAUGACGCAGCAGUGCAAAAAUUCAUUUAAAUGAUAACGCUCAGUUUGUUGUGGUUGUACGACACUCCAGACAUUAUGAAUCAAUCAAUGAUUUACCAGAACAUAUCCAAUGUGAUUGCAAUGACAUGAACUGGAUAGCAAUUCUGCUUCACUAAUAUCAGAGAGUGCUUUCAUCGUGUGAGACAGGAUCUUGUGUCUUGGUGACUCUGCUCACAGCUUGACAUGCUGUGGGAGGCGAAGGAUUUCUUAUAAAUAAAGCACACUUCCAGCAGGCCAGGUGGCUGUGCACCAGGGGCAUAGCUAUAAUUGAACAAGGCAGGGCACAAAUGUCUGUAGGCCCCUGGGGAAGAGGGAAAAGCUUGCUCUUCUUUGCUCUCCCUCUCCUGUCUCUCCUAAGAUGGAAGUGGGGGGAUGGAGUGGGCAGGGCUCCAUCUUCACUUUUAGUCCCAGGACUCUCUGGGACCUUAACCUCCAGCUGAUAGCACCAUUGCAGUUGUGUUGGCUGUAUAGGUGGUUCAGUGUACAAUGCCUUCCCAUUUUUCCAUGCAGUCUGUCAGGUAGGGGGGGAUUUUCCUACAGGACUUGAGGGAGGAAAUACUCCAUUCGUCCCACAUGUUUGCUGAGCUCUUCAAGGACAACUAUUAUAACAAAGCAAAAGCCUGACUUUCAGCCUCUUUGGUCAGAUUCUACCAAGGCCAUCCCUUUCUGUCCACAGAGCACAGUGAAUAAUUUAGCUGCUGUGCUUCUCUGAAAGGGCAAAUGGCCUUUUCAAAUGCUCUCCUGAAUGCUAUGGUGAUUCACCCAUUAACAUUGCUCAGACUGACGGACAUUUUCAUAAGCAAUCCGCUGAUGGAUUUGUUUUGAGCCCAGCUUCUAUUCCAAACUAGCACAACACAGCAGAUUUUAAUCUAUACUGGUUUAAGAUCAUUUUAUCUAGACAUGGGGAUAUAUAUUAUAAUUAGCUGAAUUAAAGCAUUGUUUUUCUCUA